UAAAAGAUAAGCUAAUAAAGCUGACGGGCUCAUACCCCUUUUAUGGCUAUGCCUCUUUUAA
rnacentral:tRNA from 1 species